CUCACCCUAGCCCUCUCCCCGCAGGCGGGGAGAGGGGACGAGUAAG
rnacentral:sRNA from 1 species